rnacentral:misc_RNA from 1 species
UUGAGUGGUUGGAUGUGGGGGUUUGCUGGCCUUGUAAAGGGUUCAGCUCCCCUGAAAUGCAUUAGCAGAACAACCCUGUUCAUUGGUGUGAUAACUAUCUACGCUAUUGAAUGUAAGGGGCAGUUCAGCUUUCUAACAGUCCUCGGACAAUUCAUCAUUAAUGUGACCUCAAAUCAGGUAGGACUACCCGCUGAACUUAA